GGGGGGGGGGGGGGGGGGGGCGGGGGGGGGCGGGGCGGGGGAGGGGGCGGGACGGUUGCUUGUCUGAGGGUGGCGGCGGGCGGGUGAGUACCACGUGGAUGGCCUACCUAUAAUACGUGGAUGAGUUCGGGGAGCCGGAGCUGAUACAGGAGAAUCUUUUGAACGGCAUGGUUCAAAGGUGCAAGACGGUUUUGCGGGCACUUUGAGAUGGAUUCGGGCUGCAUGAGCGAGUUGGUAGGGUAACGGCUUACAAAGGCAACGAUGCAUAGCCGAGCUGUGAGGGUGAUCGGACAAACUGGAACUGAGACACGGUCAAGACUCCUACGGAAGACAGCCGUAGGGAAGCUUCCGCAAUGGGCGAAAGCUUGCAGGAGCAACGCCGCGUGAGUGAUGAAGGUCUUAGGAUCGUAAAACUCUGUUAUUAGGGAAGAACAUAUGUGUAAGUAAAUGUUCACAUCUUGACGGUACCUAACCAGAAAGCCACGGCUAACUACGUG
rnacentral:rRNA from 1 species